UACGUAGGGUGCGAGCGUUGUCCGGAAUUACUGGGCGUAAAGAGCUCGUAGGUGGUUUGUCGCGUUGUCCGUGAAAACUCACAACUCAAUUGUGGGCGUGCGGGCGAUACGGGCAGACUGGAGUACUGCAGGGGAGACUGGAAUUCCUGGUGUAGCGGUGGAAUGCGCAGAUAUCAGGAGGAACACCGGUGGCGAAGGCGGAUCUCUGGGCCUUACCUGACGCUGAGGCGCGAAAGCUAGGGGAGCGAACAGG
rnacentral:rRNA from 1 species